rnacentral:rRNA from 2 species
UCCGGUUGAUCCUGCCGGACCUGACUGCUAUCGGAUUGGUACUAAGCCAUGCGAGUCGUUGUAGCAAUACAAGGCAGACGGCUCAGUAACACGUAGUCGACCUAACCUAUGGACGUGGAUAACCUCGGGAAACUGAGAAUAAACCAUGAUAGAUCAUAAUGCCUGGAAUGGUUUAUGGUCCAAACAAUUUAUUGCCGUAGGAUGGGACUGCGGCCUAUCAGCUUGUUGGUGAGGUAAUGGCCCACCAAGGCUAUAACAGGUACGGGCUCUGAGAGGAGAAGCCCGGAGAUGGGUACUGAGACACGGACCCAGGCCCUAUGGGGCGCAGCAGGCGAGAAACCUUAGCAAUGUGCGAAAGCACGACUAGGUUAAUCCGAGUGGUUCCUGCUAAAGGAACCUUUUGUCAGUCGUAAAACCACAGACGAAUAAGGGGUGGGCAAGUCUGGUGUCAGCCGCCGCGGUAAUACCAGCACCUCGAGUGGUCAGGAGGUUUAUUGGGCCUAAAGCAUCCGUAGCCGGCUUUGCAAGUCUCCGGUUAAAUCCAACUGCUUAACAGAUGGGCUGCCGGAGAUACUACAAAGCUAGGGAGCGGGAGAGGUAGACGGUACUCUGUGGGUAGGGGUAAAAUCCACUGAUCCAUAGAAGACCACCAGUGGCGAAGGCGGUCUACCAGAACGCGUUCGACGGUGAGGGAUGAAAGCUGGGGGAGCAAACCGGAUUAGAUACCCGGGUAGUCCCAGCUGUAAACGAUGCAAACUCGGUGAUGCAUUGGCUUAUGGCCAAUGCAGUGCCGCAGGGAAGCCGUUAAGUUUGCCGCCUGGGAAGUACGGACGCAAGUCUGAAACUUAAAGGAAUUGGCGGGGGAGCACCACAA